GACGAACGCUGGCGGCGUGCUUAACACAUGCAAGUCGUACGGUAAGGCCCUUUCGGGGGUACACGAGUGGCGAACGGGUGAGUAACACGUGAGUAACCUGCCCACAACUUUGGGAUAACGCUAGGAAACUGGUGCUAAUACUGGAUAUGUGCCCCUGCUGCAUGGUGGGGGUUGGAAAGCUCCGGCGGUUGUGGAUGGACUCGCGGCCUAUCAGCUUGUUGGUGGGGUAGUGGCCUACCAAGGCGGCGACGGGUAGCCGGCCUGAGAGGGUGACCGGCCACAUUGGGACUGAGAUACGGCCCAGACUCCUACGGGAGGCAGCAGUGGGGAAUAUUGCACAAUGGGCGCAAGCCUGAUGCAGCAACGCCGCGGGCGGGAUGACGGCCUUCGGGUUGGAAACCGCUUUCAGCAGGGACGAAGCUUUUUGUGACGGUACCUGCAGAAGAAGCACCGGCUAACUACGUG
rnacentral:rRNA from 1 species